UUUUCUAUCGUGGUAUCUACUUGUGUAAAUGUUUUAAAUUGACGAUCAAAUUAGUUCAUUGUAUUCAUAUAGGGUUAAAGUGUGUAGCUCUCAAAAAUCAUCAAAAUCAGAGUUAAAACUACCGUUAAAUCGUGUUUUUUCAUUUAUAACCGUCGAAAAGUUUUGUCCCGUUACUUGAUCUCUGAAUGUUUGUUUUUUACGAUUUUUGGCAUACGCGAUCUCAAAGCAUAUACAAACACGUUGGCGGUUGGAUCGUUGAAACUAGUUUCGUAGAAUGCGUAUCCCAUUAAAAUGAUACAUUCAUUAACACUAUGAGUUUUUUUUAUAUUUUCAUCAAGUAUAACAUAAGAUUUUGUGGUGUCCACUACUGUAAAUAUUUUAAAUUGAAGAUCGAAUUAGUUCAUUAUAUUCAUAUAGGGUCAAGGAGUGUAGCUCUCAAAAAUCAUCAAAAUCGGAGUUAAAACUACCGUUAAAUCAUGCUUUUUUGUUUAUAACCGUCGAAAAGUUUUGUCCCGUUACUUGAUCUCUGAAUGUUGUUUUUUUGUGAUUUUUGGCGUACACGAUCUCAAAGCAUAUACAAACAUGUUUGACGGUUGGAUCGUUCAAACUAGUUUCGUAGAAUUCGUAUCCCAUUAAAACAAUACAUUCACUAACACUUGGAGUUUAUUUAUAUUUUCGUCAAGUAUAACAUAAGAUUUUGUGGUGUCCACUAGUGUAAAUAUUUUAAAUUGAAGAUCGAAUUAGUUCAUUGUAUUCAUAUAGGGUCAAGGAGUGUAGCUCUAAAAAAUCAUCAAAAUCAAAGUUAAAACUAUCGUUAAAUCGUGUUUUUUCAUUUAUAACCGUCGAAAAGUUUUGUCCUGUUACUUGAUCUCUGAAUGUUUUUUUUUUUCGAUUUUUGGCAUAUGUGAUCUCGAAGUAUAUACAAACAAGAUUGACGGUUUGAUCGUUGAAACUAAUUUCGUACAAUGCAUUUCCCAUCAAGUUCAAUGGUAUAUAUAUUUAGUAAGUAGAUUUUAAUUUAUUUAUUUUGUACUCAUGCAAGAGAAAAGAAAAAGGACAAAAAAAAAAACACUUUACGCGACGUAGGUACACAUGCAUUGCGCAAAACAGCUUUGCACGA
rnacentral:lncRNA from 1 species